rnacentral:misc_RNA from 1 species
GAACGCAUAUUGCGGUCGAGGCUUCGGCCAAGACCAUGUCUGCCUCAGCGUCGGUGUGAACCCUCACUCCCCUCACGGGUGGAGUGGACCUGGCCUCCUCAGCCCUUGGGCUGGGCUGGCUGAAAUUCGGAGGUUCCCGCUCGGGCCUGUAUGGCAACAGCAAGGUAGGUAGUUUACUACUCCGGCUGAUGCUUUGGGCACGUUGCAUGAACCCGCAGGAAAUUCUCACCUUUUCGACCUGAGAUCAGGCAAGGCUACCCGCUGAACUUAAG